UUCUUCACUUCUUUGCAACGGCAGUGUCGAAGAGAGCAAGCCUUGUAAAACCCUACUCUGGCUUUCCCUAGUAAUCUCCCGCCAUGACAUCGCCGAGGUUCCCAGUUCUCUGUCACCGGGAGAUUCCCAGCAUCUCGUCGUCGUGGCCGCCAUCAAUCUGGACCCUCGAUUGCCAUUCCAUUACCCCUAUUCCGCAGGCCUCGCGUGCGUUCCCUGGGAGGCUAGCUGAGCUCAGAGCGGGAUUCGGGAUGAAAUUGAGCUGGGGGAGGUGGAGCAGCUAUCGGGGCAAGCUGAGGAAGAACUUCUUCGUGAAGGUAAGUGCCAGUGGCGAUCCUGUGACUAGUGAGACCGAUUCCGUCCCAAAUGAGGCCGUUGGGGCCGGGAAAGGAGACCCUUUCAACCAUUUCCGAGGAGUUAUCAGCUCUCUGCCUCCGGUCGUUUUCGUGAUGAAGAGGAAUCCUGGUGCCAAUUUUGUGAUUGGGUUUUGUAUUGCAACUGCAAUUUUCUUCAUUGUUGGAAGGGUCUAUGCUGCAAGAAACGCAAUGUAUGAUCGUCCCGGCUCUGUAGCUGAUCUCGUCAGGCGUGGCCAGCUGAGAUCUGAUAGAAGAGGCAUCUCUACACCACUCAAAUAUGAGGAUCCAUUCAAUAACCCACUAGUCAAGGUCGGUAAGAAAAAUUCGACCGUGGAGAUGUGCGGGAAAGUUUAUCGUCUGGCUCCAGUUACUCUAACCAAAGAGGAGGAAACCAUCCACAAACGAAGAAGGUCGCGGGCUUAUCAGUGGAAAAGGCCCACAAUGUUUCUUAAAGAAGGCGAUACGAUACCUCCUGACGUGGACCCUGAUACUGUCCGGUGGAUUCCUGCUAAUCACCCCUUUGCUACCACAGCCAGUGACAUUGAUGAAGACCUUGCUCAGACCAAUGUCUAUCAAAAACAUGGGGUUCCAUUCCGUAUCCAAGCUGAACACGAGGCGCUGCAGAGAAAGCUGGAAGCAUUGCAAAGAGAGGAAAGACUUGAUAAGUUGGUCAUUGAUCGUGGCAACGCUAAAGAUUUUGAGAGACAAUUUAAGUUUCAAGCAAAGUCGCAAGAUGUGGAACAGGGCCCUCCUUUUAAGCCUUCUAAAUCGGAUUUCUCCCCGAGCCCUGCGGAAAGCAACUCAUCAUCCGAGGAAAUCCAGAAAUCAUAAUCUCAGAUGCUCAUAUCCACUCACUCUCUUUAUGAGUACUCUAAUGAAGGAACUCUGAGAUUUAUUUGAAGCUGCCAAUGAAAUUUUCGUAACCGGAAUGCCGGUAUACUGCUUAUGCGGGGCCAGAAAGUAGAGCAAGGCUGUAAAUACAACUGAACUGUGUAUAGUGUGGUCGGUCGAGACAGCUUUUCGUACUUAUUCUGUAUUGGGUAUAAGUCAUAAUCUUUUACUUGUUCAUUUCCAGCAUAACAGAGUUCAACAAUGAAGUUUUUAGGCUGCUGUGAAACUUUAAUCACAUAUUGUGAAGAAGUUUUCGAUAUUUGGAUUUUCAAAGAUCUUUAUUCUGAUUGAAAUAUGAAUACAAAAGUACUGCUACUUAUUUGGCACGGGAUGCCAACCGAUCCUACUGCGGAUCUGUGCACUCCGCUCAUUCUUUACUACUUUGUUUGAUUGCAUUACAUACAUACAAGAAUGAUUUACUGUCUUCUAUCAGAUUAACAAAAAAAAAA